AUGGGCGCAAGCCUGAUCCAGCCAUGCCGCGUGAGUGAUGAAGGCCUUAGGGUCGUAAAGCUCUUUCGCCAGAGAUGAUAAUGACAGUAUCUGGUAAAGAAACCCCGGCUAACUCCGUGCCAGCAGCCGCGGUAAUACGGAGGGGGUUAGCGUUGUUCGGAAUUACUGGGCGUAAAGCGCACGUAGGCGGAUCAGAAAGUAUAGGGUGAAAUCCCAGGGCUCAACCCUGGAACUGCCUUAUAAACUCCUGGUCUUGAGUUCGAGAGAGGUGAGUGGAAUUCCGAGUGUAGAGGUGAAAUUCGUAGAUAUUCGGAGGAACACCAGUGGCGAAGGCGGCUCACUGGCUCGAUACUGACGCUGAGGUGCGAAAGUGUGGGGAGCAAACAGGAUUAGAUACCCUGGUAGUCCACACCGUAAACGAUGAAUGCCAGACGUCAGCAAGCAUGCUUGUUGGUGUCACACCUAACGGAUUAAGCAUUCCGCCUGGGGAGUACGGUCGCAAGAUUAAAACUCAA
rnacentral:rRNA from 1 species